ACAGCCGGAACUACGGUCGGAAAUACAGUCGGAACUACGGUCGGAACUACGGUCGGAACUACGGUCGGAACUACGGUCGGAAAUACAGUCGGAACUACGGUCGGAACUACGGUCGGAACUACGGUCGGAAAUACAGUCGGAAAUACAGUCGGAAAUACAGUCGGAACUACGGUCGGAAAUACAGUCGGAAAUACAGUCGGAACUACAGUCGGAACUACAGCCGGAACUACGGUCGGAAAUACGGUCGGAACUACGGUCGGAACUACGGUCAGAAAUGUAAAUUAGCAUUAUAUUUAAUUGUUCAUUUGGCAACUAGUCUUUUUUCUAUGUUACAGGGAUAAUGUUAAUAACUCUGCUAUUUUUAUUUUUAAAUUAAGAUAUUCAAUCCU